CUUUUUUUCUUUACAGUCCUGCGUCGGUACUUUGAGGAGCCGCCGUACUCAGAGUCCGUCCCGCUGGAGCAGCAUGUGGAGCUCAGGUGUCUGCCCCCUAUAGGUCGACCUCACCCCACCUCCACCUGGCUCAAGGACAACGUGCCCAUCAACUUCGACCUCCUCCCCAGCUACAAGAUUUCCUCUGAAGGAUCUCUGCUGAUCCUGUCGGCUCGGCCUGAAGACUCAGGGAACUACACCUGUGUGGCGGAAAACGUGGCGGCCAAGAGAGUGUCCGACCCCGCCGUGCUUAAGGUGUAUGUGGACGGUGCGUGGUCGUCCUGGUCGUCAGCGGUCAUCGUGCAGCAGCAGGUGUGGUCGUGGAAUGCAACGUCGUACUCGAACGUGCUCGGCCCCGACGCCACUGAACGGCGGGGCGGCGUGCCAGGGCAUCGCCGUGCAGAGAACCGACUGUUCCCAUCUGUGCCCAGAUGGUCGAGGUUCCUUCCGUCAGGA
rnacentral:lncRNA from 1 species